rnacentral:ncRNA from 1 species
UCCCGAUAAAGCCAAACCCUUUGUGAGAAGGGGGCAGAAAACAGCGGGUCUUAGAGAAAGAUAAGAUGGCCGAGUUGCCGGA